rnacentral:tRNA from 4 species
AAGGUGUUAGUAAAAUCAUUACAUAGCUUUGUCAAAGCUAAAUCACAGAUGAAAACCCUGUACAUCUUA